AGAAUGAACGUUGGCGGCGUGGAUUAGGCAUGCAAGUCGCACGGGCCGCAGGGCCAGUGGCGCAAGGGUGAGUAAGGCGACGGUAACCAACCCCAUGAUUGGGUAUAGCCGCGGGAAACUGCGGGUAAUCCCCAGCGAAGUCUUGGCGAGGCAUCUCGCGAGGACCAAAGUUCCGGCGUCGUGGGACGGGCCGUCGUGGUAUUAGCUUGUUGGCGGGGUAACGGCCCACCAAGGCUGCGAUGCCUACCGGGCGUGCGAGCGUGGCCCGGCACACUGGGACUGAGACACUGCCCAGACUCCUACGGGAGGCUGCAGUCGAGAAUCUUCGGCAAUGGGCGCAAGCCUGACCGAGCGACGCCGCGUGGAGGACGAAGGCCUUCGGGUUGUAAACUCCUGUCGAGGGGAGAGCGCCGCAAGGCGUUGACUGAUCCCUGGAGGAAGCGACGGGCUAAGUUCGCGCCAGCAGCCGC
rnacentral:rRNA from 1 species